AAGACUAUAGACCUGCGGAGUACCUGCGGAAGGAUCAUUAAUGAAUAAACUUGGUCAAGCUGUUGCUGGUCUCUUGAGACAUGUGCACGCUUGCCACCAACUUUAACCACCUGUGCACCUUUUGUAGACUGGAAACGUUUCUCGAGGCAACUCGGAUUGAGAACUGUUGCGCGCAAGCCAGCUGUUCUUGCGUUUCUUAGUCUAUGUUUUCAUAUACUCCUAAUGUAUGUAAUCGAAUGU
rnacentral:misc_RNA from 1 species